AUUGAACGCUGGCGGCAUGCUUUACACAUGCAAGUCGGACGGCAGCACAGAGGAGCUUGCUUCUUGGGUGGCGAGUGGCGGAGGGGUGAGUAACGCAUCGGAACGUACCGAGUAAUGGGGGAUACCUGUCCGAAAGGACAGCUAAUACCGCAUACGCCCUGAGGGGGGAAGCGGGGGAUCUUAGGACGUCGCGGUAUUCGAGCGGCCGACGUCUGAUUAGCUGGUUGGCGGGGUAACGGCCCACCAAGUCGACGAUCAGUAGCGGGUCUGAGAGGAUGAUCGGCGACACUGGGACUGAGCCACGGCCCAGACUCCUACGGGAGGCAGCAGUGGGGAAUUUUGGACAGUGGGCGCAAGCCUGAUCCAGCCAUGCCGCGUGUCUGAAGAAGGCCUUCGGGUUGUAAAGGACUUUUGUCAGGGAAGAAAAGGGGCAUGUUAAUACCGUGCUCUGAUGACGGUACCUGAAGAAUAAGCACCGGCUAACUACGUG
rnacentral:rRNA from 1 species